rnacentral:rRNA from 1 species
GAUGAACGCUGGCGGCGUGCCUAAUACAUGCAAGUCGAGCGAACGGACGAGAAGCUUGCUUUUCUGAUGUUAGCGACGGACGGGUGAGUAACACGUGGAUAACCUACCUAUAAGACUGGGAUAACUUCGGGAAACCGGAGCUAAUACCGGAUAAUAUUUUGAACCGCAUGGUUCAAAAGUGAAAGACGGUCUUGCUGUCACUUAUAGAUGGAUCCGCGCUGCAUUAGCUAGUUGUUAAGGUAACGGCUUACCAAGGCAACGAUGCAUAGCCGACCUGAGAGGGUGAUCGCCCACACUGGAACUGAGACACGGUCAAGACGCCUACGGGAGGCAGCAGUAGGGAAUCGUCCGCAAUGGGCGAAAGCCUGACGGAGCAACGCCGCGUGAGUGAUGAAGGUCUUCGGAUCGUAAAACUCUGUUAUUAGGGAAGAACAUAUGUGUAAGUAACUGUGCACAGCUUGACGGUACCUAAUCAGAAAGCCACGGCUAACUACGUG